UCCUGCUAGCGACUUCCUCAUGGUAGCACUUUCAGCCAUACAUUAAACCUUUUAACUUUCCCAAUUUCACUUUUACUUUCUAAUUUUACUUCUUCCUCUGAAAAUAUCUCCACACGAAAAACAGAAGCUCCACAAUCUAUUCGCAGUUUGUAAAAAAGUAAGACGUUGAACAUCUGCCUGAAAUUUACAGAGUAAUAGACAUGGAAAGAUGCAAUUCAUUUGUUAAUAGAGGUACAGAAAGGAUGGUUUAUCAUUCAUUUUUCUUACAUUUUCCUAGGUGUUUAUAGGUCCGUGCUAAUUUUCUUUUCUCUUUUCUUAUGUUAUCAACUUUUCAUUAUUCAGUAGCACUUCUGUUGCUAUCUCUUAUUGAAUGUUAGGACCUAUGGGCUGUGACAUUUUACAGAGGGUUAAUACGCAUUAUGGACUGUAUGUUCUUGCAGUAAAUAAACAAUCUACAUCAUGAAUAACUCAUUUUCUAGAAUAAGUAAUUUGUCUCAUGUUUUUACAAACCUAUGAGUAUGAUUGGGAUUCCUAAAAGCUUACAUUAAUGUAUUGAGCCUGUCGAGGCAUAUGCAUUUUCUUGAUUAUAAAAGAGUGAUGAAAUUAAGAUUGCCUUUGUAACAGUAUACUUCGAAGUGAUGAAAUUAAGAUUGCCUUUGUAACAGUAUACUUCGAUGUUCAUUCUCUGGGGGAGAUACCCAACCUCGCAAAUAUGAAUGUAGAUAGAAAACCAUAACCAAAAGGUUAUAUUCCAAAUAAUCAAUUGAUUUCUUCAUACGAAAAGCAUUAGUAGUGAGUAUUUUAACUUGUACAUACUGGUGCUUAAAAAAAGAACCUUUACUAAUAUUUGCCUCUUUUACCUUUAAAAAGCAUAUAUCAUAAGUAAUUUAAUGUCACUAUCUUUUUUUGGAACCAAUAUACACUUGACUGGUGCUACUUGUUAUUCCAUGGACCAUAGAAAAUGAAUCAACUAUGAGAAAACUAGACAAUAAAAUAAAAUUAUCGACAUCCCAAGUUAACUCACUUCUUUACUAAUAGUUUUAUUCGUGCAUAUCUUCUGAAUAUUAAUGUAGCCAAUAAUUGUGGUUUUUUUUUUUUUUUUUGUUAAUGGAAAUGAGUAUUUUGGUAUGGGGUGAUUAUUGCAAGGAUUAUGUUUCAGGAUAUAGCAACUUUGCUUCUUGCUGCCCAGACGUUCAAGGACACUACUGAUUUGUUUGUUGAGAAAUAUAAGGACAAGAACAUCAGUGUCGUUGCAAGUCUUUUUUUUUUUCCAAAUUUCUCCUUUUGGGGCUUUUGGUCUAAACUGUUCCAUAUACAUUGCCUGGCACUAUAUUAUCAGCAUUAUAUGUAUUAAACUAACUUCUGCAAUUUUAUGGCAGACACUGUCAUUUCAAAAAACUCCUUGACUUUAGGUAACAAUUAGUCGAUUUUGAACUA